rnacentral:lncRNA from 1 species
GGACGAAAUCAGACCCUUGAAACCCAAACCACAUCUGGUGUAUUUUCUUCCAUGACAGUCACAUAGGGACAGAGGAGAAGCACCUGCCCCUCCCUUCUCUUUUCCUGUGGUGGCUGAAGGGAGGGGGUGGUUUGGCCAAGGAGGUGCAGCUUGGCUGUCAUCAUUGGCGCCCUUCCCAGCACUCCCUGUUCCAGACACUGCCCUUUAUUUGAAGAAGUGGUAAGGAAAUGGCUCCUAAUGUGACAGAGUUUUGUCUCUCAGGUUGGAUAUGAAGCUGGAAUAGGAUGAAGAGCUGAAGGAAUUACUCUGCAGUCCCACAGAGCUAUGUCUGUUUUCCUGGCUGAGUUUCCCUUAAGCUGAGUUUCCUGUCUGUAAAAGGUAAGAGUCCUCAUUUGGUAGAGUGGUCACAUAGAUUUAAAGAGAUAAAAACACAUAAAGCCAUUUCCGGGACACAGCACUUGGUAGUCUCUAAAUACUUCUGAGUUUCCUUUCUUCUUUGAGGCUAAGGCUAUGAGUCACAUUAAACACUAAUACAAGUGAGUAGCAGCAGUUCAUGUACUUUCAGUUGUAUACCAGGGUACUGAGUUUCUUUGAGAGGUUUUGAAAGGUAAGAGAAAUAUUCCAAGUAUCCCAAAACAGUGUCAACACAUUAAAAACCUCUUACCACAUGGAGAGAGAGUAGAAGAAGGUGAGGAGAAUUGUGAUUAGAACUUCCCUGAAGAGAAAGUGGGGACCCCAGCAGAUACUUGAACACCCACGUUCAUAGCAGCAUCAUUCACAAUAGCCAGGAGGUGGAAGCAACCCAAGUAUGGAUUGCUACCAUACUGAUGGGUGAAUGGAUAAGCAAAAUGUGUCAUAUACAGACAGCGGAAUAGCAUUCGAC